GGGCUCGUAGCUCAGUAGGUGAGAGCGCGCGCCUGAUAAGCGCGAGGUCAGUGGUUCGACUCCACUCGAGCCCACCA
rnacentral:tRNA from 7 species